rnacentral:misc_RNA from 1 species
GGGAAUUGUCCCUGUUUUUGUGCUAAUAUUGGGCACCCUAUGGAUUGGUUAAUGAUCUAUGAUAAUUACUUGAACCAUUAUUUUAAUAGUUUGGAUAGAAAGUUUGAUUCUUUAGAGGCUUUGAUGAGAAAUAAUCAAGAACUUGAAGAAAAAUCAUGGAAGCUUGUUAGGGAGAUGGAGACUACUAAAGAAAGCUUCUCUAUUGGUCCUGUUCUUCAAAAGCUGCGGGAUAUGUUAGAAGGAAUUCUUGAUGAUUGCAAAAUUUUAUUUUCUGAGACUCUAGAUUUCCUCCAUAAAAACAGAAUAGGUUU